GUAGAGGAUGCUUCUGGCGAGGCGCCGCCUGAGUUCCCUGGAACGGGACGCCAUAGAGGGUGAGAGCCCCGUCUGGCUGGCCGCCGAGCCUCUGUGAAGCUCCUUCGACGAGUCGAGUAGUUUGGGAAUGCUGCUCAAAACGGGAGGUAUAUGUCUUCUAAAGCUAAAUAUUGGCCAGAGACCGAUAGCGCACAAGUAGAGUGAUCGAAAGAUGAAAAGCACUUUGAAAAGAGGGUUAAACAGUACGUGAAAUUGUUGAAAGGGAAGCGCUUGCGACCAGACUCGGGCGCGGCGGAUCAUCCGGCGUUCUCGCCGGUGCACUCCGCCGUGCUCGGGCCAGCAUCGGUUCGCCUCGGGGGAGAAAGGCGCCGGGAAUGUGGCUCCCUCGGGAGUGUUAUAGCCCGGCGUGGAAUACCCUGGGGCGGACCGAGGACCGCGCGUUUUACGCAAGGAUGCUGGCGUAAUGGUCGCCAGCGACCCGUCUUGAAACACGGACCAAGGAGUCGUCCUCGUAUGCGAGUGUUCGGGUGUCAAACCCCUACGCGUAAUGAAAGUGAACGCAGGUGAGAGCUUCGGCGCAUCAUCGACCGAUCCUGAUGUUCUCGGAUGGAUUUGAGUAAGAGCAUACGGGGCCGGACCCGAAAGAAGGUGAACUAUGCCUGUGUAGGGUGAAGCCAGAGGAAACUCUGGUGGAGGCUCGCAGCGGUUCUGACGUGCAAAUCGAUCGUC
rnacentral:rRNA from 1 species